UGACAAGGCCUGAAAUUUCUAGAUUUAAUCUGAUUGCAAUCCAUUCCAAUCUGGAUGGUGGUAGCUUGAAUUGAGGGACUUCCAAGUGGACCUGAUCUCUUGAGCCUGGAGAUCAUUGGACCUCGGACCAUCUUGCCCAUGAAAAGACAGGCAAGAGAGCCAGAAGCAGUGCAAUGCUUCAGUGGAGUGAUGCAUUAAUUCUCCAGAGAAGUCUUGAACUGGUUGUUCCUGACCUGGACAAAUAAGAUCUCAAGGCAAGAUGACAUCAUGGGAAAGCUAAGCCUGCUAAAUUUGGUGUCACACACAUCUAGAGAUCUCUGUCAGAUGAGAGAGCCAUCCUGAGGUAUCUCCAAGUGGACUGUGGCAAGGGCCAGGGGCACAUUGUAGAAUUCCCAAGUACUGCUGCCAGACCAGACCUUAUCCCAGCAGUGACUACUGCUGAACACUAUACAACAGUCCUUCACUCUGCCCACUGACCCCAUUUUGUAGGCAGCCAAGUUACCAUGGUAAUGGCAACAGCAGGCCCUGGGCUUGGUGCUCAGGGUGAGGAGAGCAGAGGAUGUAUCCACAAAUAUCCUCACGUCAGAGAGCUGCUCCAGUUUGCAGAGCUAGACUUGGCCAACACGAAACUUCUCACUGAGGCAAAGGAAGCUUAUGUCCCAGUUGCCUUGGCCUCCUGCUUCUACGGGUUUCCAGUGUAGAGAAAUAGCUCAAGUCCCAUUGGCUAAGGGAAACCUGCUGCUCACUUUUUAAUUAUGCUAAAUCUUUCCUCAGAGAAGUGAGAUUAAAGAAAAAAGAAAAGAAAACAAUAAACCACAUUGUAUCCUGAGAGUUAAACCAGUUAAACUUCUAGUGAAAUUUGCCUUAUCUAAAAACCGAGCAACAGCAGCAAAAACAAAACCCAUUGUGAGUAAGUGAAAAUUUUCCAUUGUUCUCAAUAACCUUGGUAAAGAGCACUAAGCAACCAAGUAUGUGGAGGGACUCCACUGUCCUUUCAUCAGAGAGCUAACAAGUCCGUGCAGCUGGAGUCCAAUAACUGAGUUAUCUGUCAUGCUGAUAGCAAGAUGAAAUUGUGCUUUUCGGAUGCAUACAAAAUUAGGGUUGGAGAGUUAGGAAGGGCAAGUCCCACAUUCUCUAUCUGAGGUAAAUUCUGUCUUGUAGAUGUUCUAAAGACUCAAGUGAGAUUGCUUUUGCAUGCAGCCCAGGCUUUACACAUCUCCAAGGGAUGUGCAGAUUUUCCUACAAAGUUUGUCUUUGGAGUUUGUUAAGUCUACAGCUUAGGUGAGACUCUUAGAGCAGUGGUUUUCCACCUGCCCAGAGUUGUGACCUUUUAAUACAGUUCCUGUGGUGACCCCCAACUAUAAACUUAUUUUUGUUGCAACUUCAUAACUGUAAUUUUACUACUGUUAGGAAUCGUAUUAUAAAUAUUUUUGGAGGUAGAGGCUUGCCAAAGGGCAAUGACCCACAGGUUGAGAACGGCUGUACUAGAGAGAAUACUUGCCCAGCACCAUCUUGAACAAAGUGAGGCUACUUAUUACUUAAGGUCUCCAUGAACAAUAAGAUUUGUAUCAAAGUACCUUAUGUCAAUUUCUUCCUUGACUCUGCUUUAUUUUUAUUUUUGGGGUUUUUGAGACAGAGUUCCUCUGUGGCUUUGGAGGCUGUGAACUAGCUCUCGUAGACCAGGCUGCUCUCGAACUCGCAGAAGGAUCUGUGAGUUUGAGGCCAGCCUCGUCUACAUAGUGAGUUCUAGGACAGCCAGGG
rnacentral:lncRNA from 1 species